UACGAAGGGGGCUAGCGUUGUUCGGAAUUACUGGGCGUAAAGCGCACGUAGGCGGACUGUUAAGUCAGGGGUGAAAUCCUGGAGCUCAACUCCAGAACUGCCUUUGAUACUGAUGGUCUCGAGUCCGGAAGAGGUGAGUGGAAUUCCGAGUGUAGAGGUAAAAUUCGUAGAUAUUCGGAGGAACACCAGUGGCGAAGGCGGCUCACUGGUCCGGUACUGACGCUGAGGUGCGAAAGCGUGGGGAGCAAACAGGG
rnacentral:rRNA from 1 species